AUGGCAGCUCCGAGAGCGCUCGUCCUCGCCGUCCUGCUGGCGAUCGCCGUCGCCAACGCCGAGGCGGCAUCGGUCGUAGUCGGUCUGGCCAAGUGCGCCGACUGCACCAGGAAGAACCUCAAGGCCGAGGAGGCCUUCAAGGGUCUCCAGGUGGCGAUCAAGUGCAAGAACGUCCACGGCGACUAUGAGAGCAAGGCGGUGGGUGCCCUCGACGGCACCGGCGCCUUCACCGUGCCCCUCGCCGCCGACCUCCAUGGUGCUGACUGCGUCGCGCAGCUCCACAGCGCCGCCUCGAACGCGCGGUGCUCCGGCCAGGAGCCAUCCAAGAUCGUGCCUGUUUCCGAGGGCACCACCUUCGGCAUCGUCGCCGGCGACAGCAUUGCCACGCCGUCUACAGCGUCACCGGAGUGCGCGUCCAUGACCCUGUGCGGGCCAAUCAAAAAGCACAUCAUCGAGCACUUCCACCACAAGAAGCCCGUGCCACCGAAGCCGGAGCCCAAGCCCCAGCCUCACCCGGACUACGGCCCCGUACCCAAGCCCGAGCCCAAGCCGCAGCCCCAUCCGGACUACCACCCCCACCUACGGCGGCGGCGGUGGAUACCACGGACACCACUAGUGACUCCGAUCUACCACCAUCCGUCACAGCAAUGA
rnacentral:rRNA from 1 species